CGGCGGACGGGUGAGUAACGCGUAGGAAUCUACCCAGUAGUGGGGGACAACAUGGUGAAAACCAUGCUAAUACCGCAUACGCCCUAAGGGGGAAAGCGGGGGACCUUCGGGCCUCGCGCUAUUGGAUGAGCCUGCGUCGGAUUAGCUUGUUGGUGAGGUAAAGGCUUACCAAGGCGACGAUCCAUAGCUGGUUUGAGAGAAUGAUCAGCCACACUGGGACUGAGACACGGCCCAG
rnacentral:rRNA from 1 species